rnacentral:misc_RNA from 1 species
AAUAAUAGUUUGACUGGCAUUGACUAACAAAAAAAUUAAUGAAGGGAUUAAACAGUUUAACAGAACAAUUUACAGCCACCAAACAGUAUAUUUUUCAAAAUGUAGGAACCAAGUAGUUAAUUUCAAUAAAGUGCACAGCCUAAAUAGUAAUUUAUUCUAAAAUAAAUUAACAUUAAAAAAAUUUAAACAUAAAAUAAGUUUUUAAAAAUUUUUACAAUGAUUUAAAUUUUUUUUUAAUUACAAAAGCUAUGAAUAAUUUUUUUUAUUCUUUUAAAUUCAUGUUUUCCAUAUUUUCUUUUGCUUUUCAUAGAAAAUGAAAACUAUAAUUUUCUUAGAAAAUGGAAAAUGAA